AAAUUAGCUUUAGCAGAGAAAGGUAAAACAAGACAAUAAAUAAGACAUGAAUAAGACAUUGCCAUAAAUAUAGAAUAUUUGUCAUUUAUACAUAUGCGUUUUACCAUUUUGGUGUGGUUUGUGUGGGUGCAACAUCCGUGACGGAGCCUAUAGAAAAUGCUGGAUGAAGAGCCUGCCUGUGCCAGUGCCAGCCCCUGGGGCCUCUGUCCCCUGCCUCUGUGGCUCUCCCUCCAUGGGGAAAUGUGAUUACAUGUGUAUGAGUGGUAGGUGCUGAGCAGAGAGCGGCUGACACCCGGGAGGCACACUUUGCCACCUCCAUGUAAGCCUCUUGUCCAAACAAGUCAGAUCUGGGGUUGAGGCAAGACACCCCAAAUUGUCUCUCUCAGUGUGACCCUGUCAAUCAAUGAGGAUGUCGGUUACCUCCGGAGUAACAACACAGAAAUAGCCAUCAUUACAAAGAGGAGAAAAUUACAAAGAGGAGAAAAAUACAACCAUGAUAUGAUUUGGGCAGAACAGAACAUCAGAUUCCUCAGUGGGCUAUAGAGGCAUUCUCUUACAUUCAUGUUGCUGCUGACAGAGAGAGAAUGCCAGAAGCAGAAGCCUUGUGUUUUCCUAUGACUCAGUGGUUGUUAGGUUUGAAAACAUUUCAUUAGAGAGAGGAUCUUUGUCAACACUGCCCGGCUGAUGUCAUAUCUCCAAUGACACUGUACACGUCACUACACUCAAUUGGGAAAAUGACAAUGGGAGCAUAGGGGUGCAGUAUAACUACAUGGACUGCUCCACUGCAGCAUGAGAGACUGGGAGGUAACCUGAUCCAGUCUCUGGUCUUCUUGCACUGCCAAGCAGAUAUUACUCUGUCUACAGUUGACGGCCAGCCCAUCCCCACCUGGCUGAAUCUACACUACUCGUUACGGAUCUGCUGCUCUCUCACUGUCUAUGGCACACCUCUGGAAAAGCCGCCGGCACAUCCGGCUGGAGAACCCUGAAGCACUGGAAUGGGAUUGGGGGGACUAGUGAUGAAGACUACAGGAUGCCUAUCCACCGUGGCCUAGUGUUUUGAUGCCAUCUAUUGGAAUAAUUGACCAAUUUAUCAAGGGGAGUAUACAGAGUGACUACCAACUGAAAUGCUUUCUAUCCUCAUAAUAGAAGUGGUCAAUUAUAAAUAUAUCAGUUACAAUUACUAAAUUCUACCCAACAAACAUUGAGUAAACAUUCAGCUAAUUUUGAUAUCAGAAUGAUUAUAUCUCAACUACUUCUACCAAGUCAAAUUUCAAAUGAUGAAAUGGUGAUAUGAUCGUGAACUAGAGAUAUCUUGAUUUUGCAUGAUGCCAGGUGUUUUUAUAAAGUAAAACAAUAGUUUGGAUCAAUACAAAGCAUAUCUCUUUUCUCCCAAACAUUGGAAAUCACGGAGAACGAAAAUGAAAUACAAAGUGGAUGGUUUCCUGUAUUAAACAAAGGUUGAACUUUUUAUAAAUGUAAACAUGAUAUGAAUAAUGUAAUAACAAUAAAGAUACUGUAAAUUUGAACGAUAUCACAAGAUACUUCAAUUCUUUAUGCACAUAUAUGUCGCUCCAACAAAUUGGGUCAACUCUUGGGUUCACCAGUAUACGGUCUAUAGUUUACCCACCACUGU
rnacentral:lncRNA from 8 species